UACGUAGGCGGCGAGCGUUGUCCGGAUUUACUGGGCGUAAAGAGCGCGCAGGCGGUCGUGCAAGUCGCGUGUGAAAGCCCCCGGCUCAACUGGGGAGGGUCACGCGAUACUGCUCGACUGGAAGGCAGGAGAGGGAAGUGGAAUUCCCGGUGUAGUGGUGAAAUGCGUAGAUAUCGGGAGGAACACCAGUGGCGAAGGCGACUACCUGGCCUGUUUCUUGACGCUGAGGCGCGAAAGCUAGGGGAGCAAACGGG
rnacentral:rRNA from 1 species